UGGGGAAUAUUGGACAAUGGGGGGAACCCUGAUCCAGCCAUGCCGCGUGUGUGAAGAAGGCCUUAUGGUUGUAAAGCACUUUAAGCGAGGAGGAGGCUCCUAUAGAUAAUACCUAUAGUGAGUGGACGUUACUCGCAGAAUAAGCACCGGCUAACUCUGUGCCAGCAGCCGCGGUAAUACAGAGGGUGCAAGCGUUAAUCGGAUUUACUGGGCGUAAAGCGUACGUAGGCGGCUAAUUAAGUCGGAUGUG
rnacentral:rRNA from 1 species